UAUCCGGAUUUAUUGGGCGUAAAGGGCUCGUAGGCGGCUCGUCGCGUCCGGUGUGAAAGUCCAUCGCUUAACGGUGGAUCUGCGCCGGGUACGGGCGGGCUGGAGUGCGGUAGGGGAGACUGGAAUUCCCGGUGUAACGGUGGAAUGUGUAGAUAUCGGGAAGAACACCGAUGGCGAAGGCAGGUCUCUGGGCCGUCACUGACGCUGAGGAGCGAAAGCGUGGGGAGCGAACAGGAUUAGAUACCCUGGUAGUCCACGCCGUAAACGGUGGACGCUGGAUGUGGGGCACGUUCCACGUGUUCCGUGUCGGAGCUAACGCGUUAAGCGUCCCGCCUGGGGAGUACGGCCGCAAGGCUAAAACUCAAAGAAAUUGACGGGGGCCCGCACAAGCGGCGGAGCAUGCGGAUUAAUUCGAUGCAACGCGAAGAACCUUACCUGGGCUUGACAUGUUCCCGACGACGCCAGAGAUGGCGUUUCCCUUCGGGGCGGGUUCACAGGUGGUGCAUGGUCGUCGUCAGCUCGUGUCGUGAGAUGUUGGGUUAAGUCCCGCAACGAGCGCAACCCUCGCCCCGUGUUGCCA
rnacentral:rRNA from 1 species